UGUUACCCAGGAUCAGAAACGCAUGUAACUACAGCAGCAUAACUGACUACUGACAUCGUAUUGACUCUGGAUACUCAUUCAUACUGACCACACAGAGGUGUUAAAUCACAAACACAUUUCUCGGCUUUCAACAACUGAUUCAGUAAUGUCAUAUAUCUUCUGCUUUGCGCUAACUAACGGGUCACAUACGUCUAGUCAUUCUUAUCUCCUGAUUAAGGUAUCUAAUCAUUCAAAGGUAAAACGUUGUGUUAUCACUGUGACAUUUACACUGUCCCAUGAACCUAGGUUCUUCAAUCUGAUGGUUCUAUUUUGAUUUUACAGAUUUUUAAUUGCAGCAGAAAUACGAAUUUGGAUGAAACAGACCUUGCCAUUUUUAUUCGGAAGUGAUCUACAGACGUUAUACCCUGACAAUCAGUCAAUAUUCUGCAAUUAUGCACACAUCCAUAUAUUUGACAUGCUCAUUGUUACGAACACCCUCAGUUUCGGAACUAGAGGAGCUUCUUUGCCUCGAAGUAUGUUCGAAUGAUAUACGACGCCACCUCCUGGACCAAGCUCCGAUCAACAUAGUCGUUUUGAUAUCAUAGUUCAAGAAUUGCUCAGAUGCUGAGUUGUGAUCAUACACUGUAAUGCAUGGUCCUCAGGGAGUUGAGAAUGCCCAUUGGGUAAAAGUAUAAUGUUGCAAGGAAUCAUGCUACAUCAUCCAAUGGAGAUUCUUUCCCGUCAUCCCGUGCCACGGACGGAAGCAAUGCUGCACACGGGUAUACAGUCCGUAUAGAGACAAACCCCAGCAAUCCCAGCUGGUGGCGUGUGGAUCUCAAUGACACAGUGUUGAUACGUGAGGUCACCAUCUACUUCAGAACUGACUAUAGACCAAGAAGAAACGGCAUCAAAGUGUACUCGACCAACUCGACUGAUGUACCCAGUGGUGACAACUGCUACAACGUGAUAGGAAGAAGUGAUGGAAGUUGGAUUCCUGACGUCACACGGGCACCUUGUUCCGGCAUGGGACGAUACAUUUUACUGUACACAACUGUGCACAAUGAUGGCGAUACCAGUACCAGUCUGCCUGUGCUUGACUUUUGUGAGGUGGACGUAGAUGUGUGUGGUCCUGGUACUUUCGGCUCUGACUGUGACAACUACUGCCAUUGUGACGGUGAUGUGUGCAACUACGUUAGCGGUGUCUGUCCCAGUGGAAUUUGUAUGUCUGGCUGGGGCAGUGAUAGUUGUGAUACUGGCUGUGUCCAAGGGGUGCAGUAUGGUGCCGGAUGUGUUGGUAACUGCAGUGCCCGGAUGUGUGAGGGAGGGUCGGGCACCUGUCCCCGAGAAACUGAUCGGUGUGAGGAUGGAUGUCAGUCAGGAUGGGAGGGCAUGGAUUGUAUUCAUGGUAUGUCAGUUUGACGUGGAGCACAUUAUGGCACAUGUCUGUGUAAGUAUGUUUGAAUGACGAUUUCUAGAAUGAUGUCAUGCCAAUUACUGUGUAUAAGAAAUAGGCAGUAACCCUAUGAUCAAGUUGAAUUUUGAAUGACAUGUAACCCCACAAUUGAUGUGUUAGGAGUUUUUAAAAAACAUGUAACUACCAAGCAGUGACCUAGAAUACUCGUACUUAUUGGGGACACAUUCUAGGGAAUGCUACGUUAAAACAGCAGUUUUGAUGAGAAAAAAGUUUUCAGACACUGGAUUGCCUUGUUGGUAUAGCCUCACGUUACUCAUAUGCGGGUGAGCUAAAAUCAAGUUACAAAGAUCUGUUCGAAUCAUCUUUACUCAAACCAUAAGAUCUAUGAAGUUGAAACAUUGGCAUAAUGUAAAGCAACUAAAAAUGGCUUCUAUCUAAUUUGAAAAAAGGUAACAAUCGUAGUUCAAUAUUUUCUUUGGAAUUAUCAUUUCUCAAAACCAAAGGUGGAAAAUGUUCAAACAAAUUUUGAAGUAGCUGCAAGGAUGAGUAGGACCAAGUAUAAUGCUAUCUGACUAAGAUAACUAUUUUCUUGAAAUGAACCAUCAAGAACAUCACAGUGAUCAAGCUGUCACACAUGCUUUAUAUAACUAUUACAAGCAAUUUCACGUUUCUUUUAUCCAUCAUCACCUAAUUUCAAAUUCUUGGCAAUACUGUGAAAAGAAAUGUCUUGCGUCUCACAAAUAAAAACAACCACGUUUCUCUUAUUGACCACACACGAUUUCCACACAUACCACAUCAGCAUUUCAUCACGUUCAGAAUUUACCUGGUGAGCAAAAGUAUAUUGAUGUUAUUUGGAAGAAUAUUGAACAGAGGUUUUGCAAGUGUAUACAUUUAUCCCACCCGUUAAACUGUUUUACUUUCAAGUUGUGAGCAGUUUGUCUCCAAUCACAAGUGUAUCCCCAGUAGUAGCUGGCAUCAUUGGGUCUCUCACUAUGCUGAUUGUCUUGGCCAUGGUUGUAGGCGUGGUCUGUCUGUGGAGGAAGGGAGACUUCAGGAUGGACAAGAAAACACCUGGCAUCCCUGAGACAAGCCCUGCCCCUCCUGUAGAACUCCCCACGUAUGAUGUGCUGCCUGAUCAUGACUACACCAGGCUAGACAGGAUCCAUACAGAUUAUGAGACGUUACAGCCUACAG